rnacentral:rRNA from 1 species
UGCCAGCAGCCGCGGUAAUACGUAGGUGGCAAGCGUUGUCCGGAUUUAUUGGGCGUAAAGCGAGCGCAGGCGGUGGUUUAAGUCUGAUGUGAAAGCCCCCAGCUCAACUGGGGAGGGUCAUUGGAAACUGGAUCACUUGAGUGCAGAAGAGGAGAGUGGAAUUCCAUGUGUAGCGGUGAAAUGCGUAGAUAUAUGGAGGAACACCAGUGGCGAAGGCGGCUCUCUGGUCUGUAACUGACGCUGAGGCUCGAAAGCGUGGGUAGCAAACAGGAUUAGAUA